CUGAGUCAGUGCCUGGCAGCUGCUGUUGACAUGUGAUAACGGGUGUUUGUUUAGCUGGGGCCACUCAUCAAAGGGGUUAAUGUUCAACUCCCUCCAGUCCCUGGGGCUGCAAUGGGAGCUGAGUGGUCAGACUUCUCAGGCGGGAGCCCCACAGCCUAUCUGCCCUGGACGAUGACCUGAGGCCUCAGGCGAAGGCCCAGGUCUGUGGGGGGACCUCACCUCUGCGUGUUCCAAAUGAAGAAACUGAAAGAAAAGACACUGAGGCCUGGCUGGGCGGCUCAGCCGGAUUGGAAUGUCUCUCUUUGGGGGAGAGGUGAAUGGAGAGGGUUGCCCCCACUUCAACGAAGAAGGAGCCCGAGAGAAGCAGUGGAGGGACC